GACGAACGCUGGCGGCGUGCUUAACACAUGCAAGUCGAACGAGAGCGUAGAGAUCGCUUGCUUUUUCUACAAUCUAGUGGCAAACGGGAGAGUAACGCGUAAACAACCUGCCCUACGGAUGGGCACAACAGCUGGAAACGGCUGCGAAUACCGAACACGUUCCGAAAGUCGCAUGACUAACUGAAGAAAGGAUGGCCUCUACUUAUAAGCUAUCGCCGUGGGAGGGGUUUGCGUCUGAUUAGCUAGUUGGAGGGGUAACGGCCCACCAAGGCGACGAGCAGUAUACGGGCGGAGAGGAUGAAAGGCCGCAUUGGAACGUGAACAGGGUCAUGAGUCCUACGAGAGGCAGCAGUGGGGAAUGUUCCGCAAUGGGGGAAAGCCUGACGGAGCAACGCCGCGUGAGUGAAGACGGCCUUCGGGUUGUAAAGCUCGGUUAUACGGGACGAAUAAUCUUGUGGUUAAUACCCAUGAGAAGUGACGGUACCGUAAGAGAAAGCCACGGCUAACUACGUG
rnacentral:rRNA from 1 species